AGUUGCGAAGGCGGCUCUCUGGACUGUAACUGACGCUGAGGCACGAAAGCGUGGGGAGCAAACAGGAUUAGAUACCCUGGUAGUCCACGCUGUAAACGAUGAGUACUAGGUGUCGGGGGUUACCCCCUUCGGUGCCGCAGCUAACGCAUUAAGUACUCCGCCUGGGAAGUACGCUCGCAAGAGGGAAACUCAAAGGAAUUGACGGGGACCCGCACAAGUAGCGGAGCAUGUGGUUUAAUUCGAAGCAACGCGAAGAACCUUACCUAAGCUUGACAUCCCAAUGACAUCUCCUUAAUCGGAGAGUUCCCUUC
rnacentral:rRNA from 1 species